AGAACGAACGCUGGCGGCAUGCCUAACACAUGCAAGUCGAACGAGAUCCUUCGGGAUCUAGUGGCGCACGGGUGCGUAACGCGUGGGAACCUGCCCCUCGGUUCGGAAUAACACAGAGAAAUUUGUGCUAAUACCGAAUGAUGACUUCGGUCCAAAGAUUUAUCGCCGAGGGAUGGGCCCGCGUAGGAUUAGCUUGUUGGUGGGGUAAUGGCCUACCAAGGCAACGAUCCUUAGCUGGUCUGAGAGGAUGAUCAGCCACACUGGGACUGAGACACGGCCCAGACUCCUACGGGAGGCAGCAGUGGGGAAUAUUGGACAAUGGGCGAAAGCCUGAUCCAGCAAUGCCGCGUGAGUGAUGAAGGCCUUCGGGUUGUAAAGCUCUUUUACCCGGGAUGAUAAUGACAGUACCGGGAGAAUAAGCUCCGGCUAACUCCGCGCCAGCAGCCGC
rnacentral:rRNA from 1 species